rnacentral:piRNA from 1 species
GAGAAAGCUCACAAGAACUGCUAACUCAU